AGAGUUUGAUCCUGGCUCAGGACGAACGUUGGCGGUGCGCUUAAUGCAUGAGAGUUUGAUCCUGGCUCAGGAUGAACGCUAGCGGCAGGCUUAACACAUGCAAGUCGAGGGGUAACAGGGAGAAGCUUGCUUUUCCGCUGACGACCGGCGCACGGGUGCGUAACGCGUAUACAAUCUACCUCGUACUGAGGGAUAGCCCAGAGAAAUUUGGAUUAACCCCUCAUGGUAUUAUGAUAUGGCAUCAUAUUAUAAUUAAAGGUUACGGUAUGAGAUGAGUAUGCGUUCUAUUAGCUAGUAGGUUUGGUAACGGCAGACCUAGGCUACGAUAGAUAGGGGCCCUGAGAGGGGGAUCCCCCACACUGGUACUGAGACACGGACCAGACUCCUACGGGAGGCAGCAGUGAGGAAUAUUGGGCAAUGGACGAGAGUCUGACCCAGCCAUGCCGCGUGCAGGAAGACUGCCCUAUGGGUUGUAAACUGCUUUUAUAUAGGAAGAAACCUAUCCACGUGUGGAUAGCUGACGGUACUAUAAGAAUAAGGAUCGGCUAACUCCGUGCCAGCAGCCGCGGUAAUACGGAGGAUCCAAGCGUUAUCCGGAAUCAUUGGGUUUAAAGGGUCCGUAGGUGGAUAAAUAAGUCAGAGGUGAAAUCCUGCAGCUCAACUGUAGAACUGCCUUUGAAACUGUUUAUCUUGAGUCAUUAUGAAGUGGUUAGAAUGUGUAGUGUAGCGGUGAAAUGCAUAGAUAUUACACAGAAUACCGAUUGCGAAGGCAGAUCACUAAUAAUGUACUGACACUGAUGGACGAAAGCGUGGGGAGCGAACAGGAUUAGAUACCCUGGUAGUCCACGCCGUAAACGAUGGUCACUAGCUGUUCGGACUUCGGCCUGAGUGGCUAAGCGAAAGUGAUAAGUGACCCACCUGGGGAGUACGUUCGCAGAAUGAAACUC
rnacentral:rRNA from 1 species